GGGGGGUAGCCACGGCGUGAGUUAUUUGACCUUCGCAUUCGCAAUGCGAAGGUCGGGAGUUCGAUCCUCCUCCGCUCCACCA
rnacentral:tRNA from 1 species